GCGGGGCGGGACGGGGCCCCGACCCGGCGGGGCAUCAUUGCCCCGGUAAAAUCGGGGCAGAAUUCGGGGCGGGCCUCUGACCUGCCCCGCCCCGAUAUGAAUUCUGGCGGGUCGGGGCAGACCCGCCCCGAUUACCUUUUUUUUUAAUUUUUUUUUUAUUCCCAACAAGUAAGUAACUCGACUGAACCUCGACUGAACCCUUUUUCUCUUCUCCUCACGACUAGACCUCUACUCUUCCUCGUCUUCCUCUGAAAUCGCAGAGCUUGAUGCCCUAACCGGAAUCCCCAAUUCCAACGGCCCGGUUUCGGAGGAAGAAGAGAAUUUGUUGAAGAAGCUCAAGAAUCCCGAAGUCGUGGAGCAAGCCCAAAACGAAACCCUUCUUCUCCAAACCAAAGCUGCUGCUGCCAAUCCAACCUUCUCCAUCUUCUUUGCUAAGUUUUGGGUAAUGGGACUCCUGCGGAUUGUGUUUCAUUAGGACUGUCAGUGGCACUGUUUUCUUGGUCAAAGCCUUUACUGGUUAGAUCAAACACUAAACAUGUCUACCCAAGAUGUUAUCGAAUCUAAUUUUGUCGAUGAUGUUGAUUAUGUUCAAUCAACACAUACACAAGAGGC